rnacentral:rRNA from 1 species
CAAUAAGUUUCAAUCCUUCGGGAAAGAAACUUAUUGUGAGAGCGGCGAACUGGUGAGUAAUAUAUGGGUAAUUUGCCUCUUUGUUCGGAAUAGCCAUCGGAAACGAUGAUUAAUGCCGAAUGUGUUCAGAAACUGCAUAGUUUCUUAUAUAAAGGCGGGGAUCUUCGGACCUGUCGCAAAGAGAUAAGCCCAUAUCCUAUCAGCUUGUUGGUGAGGUAAUGGCUCACCAAGGCUUACGGGUAGCUGGUCUGAGAGGAUGGUCAGCCACACUGGGACUGAGACACUGCCCAGACUCCUACGGGAGGCUGCAGUCGAGAAUCAUUGACAAUGCACGAAAGUGUGAACAUGCGACGCCGCGUGGAGGAUGACGGCCUUCGGGUUGUAAACUCCUGUCAGCAGGAAGGAAAGAUUAUAUAGUUAAUACCUAUUUAAUUUGACAGUACCUGCAGAGGAAGUCACGGCUAACUCUGUGCCAGCAGCCGCGGUAAUACAGAGGUGGCGAACGUUGUUCGGAUUUACUGGGCGUAAAGGGUCCGCAGGCGGUUUGGUAUGUCGGAUGUGAAAGCUCACAGCUCAACUGUGGAAAUGCAUUCGAAACUGCCAGACUAGAGUACUGGAGAGGGGAAGGGAACACUUGGUGUAGCGGUGAAAUGCGUAGAUAUCAAGUGGAACACCGGAGGCGAAGGCGCUUCCCUGGACAGAUACUGACGCUCAUGGACGAAAGUUAGGGUAGCGAAAGGGAUUAGAUACCCCUGUAGUCCUAACCGUAAACGGUGUGCACUAGGCGUGGGAGGCUUUACCCCCUUCCGUGCCUGAGCUAACGCAUUAAGUGCACCGCCUGGGGAGUACGAUCGCAAGAUUAAAACUCAAAGGAAUUGACGGGGACCCGCACAAGCGGUGGAGCAUGCGGCUUAAUUCGAUGCAACGCGAAGAACCUACCUGGGCUUGACAUAUAGCUGCAUACGA